rnacentral:rRNA from 1 species
UAAGCGCGCGUAGGUGGUUUGUUAAGUUGGAUGUGAAAUCCCCGGGCUCAACCUGGGAACUGCAUUCAAAACUGACUGACUAGAGUAUGGUAGAGGGUGGUGGAAUUUCCUGUGUAGCGGUGAAAUGCGUAGAUAUAGGAAGGAACACCAGUGGCGAAGGCGACCACCUGGACUGAUACUGACACUGAGGUGCGAAAGCGUGGGGAGCAAACAGGAUUAGAUACCCGUGU